AUUGAACGCUGGCGGCAGGCCUAACACAUGCAAGUCGAGCGGGGUUUUCGGACCUAGCGGCGGACGGGUGAGUAAUGCGUAGGAAGCUACCCGAUAGAGGGGGAUACCAGUUGGAAACGACUGUUAAUACCGCAUAGUGUCUACGGACCAAAGUGUGGGACCUUCGGGCCACAUGCUAUCGGAUGCGCCUACGUGGGAUUAGCUAGUUGGUGAGGUAAUGGCUCACCAAGGCGACGAUCCCUAGCUGGUUUGAGAGGAUGAUCAGCCACACUGGAACUGAGACACGGCCCAGCAGCCUACGGGAGGCAGCGGGGGUGAAUAUUGGACAAUGGGCGCAAGCCUGAUCCAGCCAUGCCGCGUGUGGGAAGAAGGCCUUCGGGUUGUAAAGCACUUUCAGUAGGGAGGAAGGGUGUUGUGUUAAUAGCACAGCAUUUUGACGUUACCUACAGAAGAAGCACCGGCUAACUCUGUGCCAGCCGCCGCGGUAAUAC
rnacentral:rRNA from 1 species